AAUUAAAACUUUCAACAACGGAUCUCUUGGCUCUGGCAUCGAUGAAGAACGCAGCGAAAUGCGAUAAGUAAUGUGAAUUGCAGAAUUCAGUGAAUCAUCGAAUCUUUGAACGCACAUUGCGCCCGCCAGUAUUCUGGCGGGCAUGCCUGUUCGAGCGU
rnacentral:rRNA from 1 species